CCUACGGGUGGCAGCAGUAGGGAAUCUUUCACAAUGGGCGAAAGCCUGAUGGAGCAACGCCGCGUGCAGGAUGAAGGCCUUCGGGUUGUAAACUGCUUUUAUAAGCGAGAAAUAUGAUGGUAACUUAUGAAUAAGGAUCGGCUAACUACGUGCCAGCAGCCGCGGUCAUACGUAGGAUCCGCGCAUGAUCCGGAGUGAAUGGGUGUAAAGAGUUGCGUAGGUGGCAUAAUAAGUAGCUAGGGAAAUCUGGUGGCUCAACCAUUCAGACUAUUAGCGAAACUGUUAAGCUCGAGACCGUUAGAGGUAAGUGGAAUUUCUAGUGUAGGAGUGAAAUCCGUAGAUAUUAGAAGGAACACCAAUAGCGUAGGCAGGUUGCUGGGACGGUACUGACACUGAGGCACGAAAGCGUAGGGAGCAAACGGGAUUAGAUACCCGAGUAGUC
rnacentral:rRNA from 1 species